CUAAAUUAAUCGAUAUUGAGUUGAAUUGGGACCAUGUGAAUUGGAAUCAAAUUGAAUUGGGAAAUCGGUGGUGAUACCCACCCCUAGUAGACCUGUAGAUGUUAAGGAAAUUUCCUUUGGAAGUCUCUCAGAUUCUUGUCCUUUUGUACCUUGAGUCUAACAUAUAAUUUCCAAGAACUGCCUGUUCACUUGCUGUCUAUUCCCUUCAGUGGUUUUGGUCACUGUAUUAUAGUUAGCUCUGUUAUAGAGAGCGGGGUCGUGCAGCAGCGGUUUAUUUUAGGCCGGUCCUCUGCUGCCCUCUGCCGGCCGAAGCGCUGCACUUCCCUCCCGUUUUUUUUUACACGAGAAGUUGAGUUACACGUCAGAGCGGGAGCCUGUAACCUGUGAGCCGGACGUGUACGGUGACCUCAGCGGUUUAUGUGUAUCAGCUGACCGUCGGAGGGCGGAAAGACGAUGGAACGUGUGGCGGAGAUGCCGAGCGGAGACGGGUUCAGCAUGGCCGGACCCUCCACUGCUCCCCGGAAGCGGCAGGUGCGUUUUUCUGCUCGUCAUGAUAUCCUGCUGCUCAGGGAGGUCAUUGCUCAGAACCCCUUCACCUCUAAAGAAUCGGGGCGUAUCUGGGCUCGGGUCGGGGAGAUCAUCACUGCUGCUCUGCAGGACGAGAACUUUGAGGUGGACGGCCGCAGGUGCAGGGAGAGGACUAUGCUGCUUCUGGACUAUUAUAAAAAACAGGACUUUCCCAGUCUGCGCAGAUUCGGCACCGAGAGGCUCUACGCUCAGAAGGAGGACCUGCUCCAUGAAGUUCUGGAGCUAGAGGCUGAGAAGAACCUGAUAGCCAGUGGAGAAGGAAAAUACCAGGAUGACGAGCUGAAGAAGCGAGCGCUGGAAGAGUUAGCUCUGCCUGAGCAGGACAAACCCACCAUGAUCUCGACAGCACCAGCAACUGGUGAGGAGCCAUCAAACAUGUCUGGAGCACUGGAGCCAGACGAUCAGGAGGACCUGGCCGAGCUGGCGGCACCCACAGCUAAGCGUCCAUGCCAGUGCUGCUGCCAGACUUACUCAGAGAUCCUGAGUUUCCUGGAGAAGCGCUCCGAGGCUGAGCAGCGCCUCCGUGAGGAGGAGAUGGCGCUGCGCAGGGAGGAGCUGGAGAUCCAGAGGAGUAAAAUAGCUCUGGAGAGGGAACGACUCGGAGCUGAGAGGAAGGAGCGGGAACGGCGGUUUGAGCUGGAGAGCCAGGAAAGACAGGUCAUUCUCGAUCUGCUGAAAGAGAAGGUGCUGAAGAGCGAGAAGAACUCAGAAAGCUGACUCUUUCUGUCAGCUGGCAUCACUCUUCAUAUAGACACUGUUCUAGAUUGGUAGUACUUUAGGCUACAGCUCAGAAUGAUGAGUUGGACUACAAUGAUUUGGGCAACAACCCAAAGGAUUCACAAUGACUGGUUGUCUCAGCUCAAUCAGAGACUUAUAUUUAUACUUGUCUUAUAUUGGCAGUUAUAUGGUUUAGCAAUGGGAACUACCAGUAGUGUCAACUUGUAACAUAUUGAUCCCCAGAGCCUGUUAACAGCCUUAACAAAAGAGGUUCUGUGUAGUACUAAAAGUGUUUUUAAACUCAUAUUGAUGGUGAAACCCUUUUUUGGUGCUUAAUAGAGCCAUUUUUUUGUUUGCCACCAAUUUGAAAAUAUCUAACAUGACAAAUUGCCAUGACUUUAUAAAGAAUCAUUGAGUUUACAAAGGAACCCUUGAAAAACCCUUAUGUGUGUAUACUAGAGCUGUGCAUUGGCUAGAACUUGAGAUGGGAUACAUAUCACGAUACAGAGGUUCCAAAUAAAUAUUUUGUAAUAUUUUGCGACA
rnacentral:lncRNA from 1 species